rnacentral:rRNA from 1 species
CCUACGGGAGGCAGCAGUGAGGAAUAUUGGUCAAUGGCCGAGAGGCUGAACCAGCCAAGUAGCGUGAGGGAUGACUGUCCUAUGGAUUGUAAACUUCUUUUAUAAGGGAAUAAAACGAGGCACGUGUGCCGUUUUGCGUGUACUUGAUGAAUAAGGAUCGGCUAACUCCGUGCCAGCAGCCGCGGUAAUACGGAGGAUCCGAGCGUUAUCCGGAUUUAUUGGGUUUAAAGGGAGCCUAGAUGGGUUGUUAAGUCAGUUGUGAAAGUUUGCGGCUCAAACGUGAACGUGCAAUUGAUACUGGCAGUCUUGAGUACAGUUGAGGUAUGCGGAAUUCGUGGUGUAGCGGUGAAAUGCUUAGAUAUCACGCAGAACCCCGAUUGCGAAGGCAGCUUACCAACCUGUGACUGACAUUGAUGCACGAAAGUGUGGGUAUCGAACAGGAUUAGAUACCCUUGUAGUC